AUGCAAGUCGAACGCAGUAGCAAUACUGAGUGGCAAACGGGUGAGUAUAAUGUGGGAAUCUGCCUUUUGGUUUGGAAUAACACGGGGAAACUUGUGCUAAUACCAAAUAAGCCCUUACGGGGAAAGUUUUAAUGCCAAAAGAUGAGCCCGCACUUGAUUAGCUAGUUGGUAAGGUAAAGGCUUACCAAGGCAACGAUCAAUAGCUGUUCUUAGAGGAAGACCAGCCACAUUGGGACUGAGACACGGCCCAGACUCCUACGGGAGGCAGCAGUGGGGAAUCUUGCACAAUGGGGGAAACCCUGAUGCAGCGAUGCCGCGUGAGUGAAGAAGGCCCUUGGGUUGUAAAACUCUUUCGUCGGGGAAGAAAAUGACUGUACCCGAAUAAGAAGGUCCGGCUAACUUCGUGCCAGCAGCCGCGGUAAUACGAAGGGACCUAGCGUAGUUCGGAAUUACUGGGCUUAAAGAGCUCGUAGGUGGUUAAAAAAGUUGAUGGUGAAAUCCCAAGGCUCAACCUUGGAACUGCCAUCAAAACUUUUUAGCUAGAGUGUGAUAGAGGUAAGUGGAAUUUCUAGUGUAGAGGUGAAAUUCGUAGAUAUUAGAAAGAACACCAAAAGCGAAGGCAACUUACUGGGUCACUACUGACACUGAGGAGCGAAAGCAUGGGUAGCGAAGAGGAUUAGAUACCCUCGUAGUCCAUGCCGUACACGAUGUGUGCUAGACGUUGGAAAUAUAUUUUUCAGUGUCGCAGCGAAAGCAUUAAGCACACCGCCUGGGGAGUACGACCGCAAGGUUAAAACUCAAAUGAAUUGACGGGGACCCGCACAAGCAGUGGAGCAUGUGGUUUAAUUCGAAGAUACGCGCAGAACCUUACCAACGCUUGACAUGUUCGUCGCGAGACUAAGAGAUUAGUUUCUUCAGUUCGGCUGGACGAAACACAGGUGCUGCAUGGCUGUCGUCAGCUCGUGUCGUGAGA
rnacentral:rRNA from 1 species